UCGUCAGCUCCACAUGUCAAUC
rnacentral:miRNA from 1 species